GUGUUCUGUAUGGCAACAUAGAUAUACAAUUGAAACUACACAGAGAAGAUUACCAUGGCCAGUGCACAAGAAUCACAGGUAAUUCAUCAAGUGUUCCAUAUUUUU
rnacentral:snRNA from 1 species